AGCCACACUGGAACUGAGACACGGUCCAGACACCUACGGGUGGCAGCAGUCGAGAAUUUUUCACAAUGGGCGCAAGCCUGAUGGAGCGACGCCGCGUGGGGGAUGAAUGGCUUCGGCCCGUAAACCCCUGUCAUUUGCGAACAAACCUCGCUAUUUAAAAGAUGGCGAGCUGAUUGUAGCGAAAGAGGAAGGGACGGCUAACUCUGUGCCAGCAGCCGCGGUAAUACAGAGGUCCCAAGCGUUGUUCGGAUUCACUGGGCGUAAAGGGUGCGUAGGCGGUGAGGUAAGUCGGAUGUGAAAGCUCGGAGCUCAACUCCGAAAUGGCAUUGGAAACUACCUCGCUAGAGGAUCGGAGGGGAGACUGGAAUUCUCGGUGUAGCAGUGGAAUGCGUAGAUAUCGAGAGGAACACCAGUGGCGAAGGCGAGUCUCUGGACGAUUCCUGACGCUGAGGCACGAAAGCCAGGGGAGCAAACGGGAAUAGAUACCCCGGUAGUCCUGGCCGUAAACGGUGCGCAUUUGCUGUGAGCGGAUUCGACCCCGUUCGUGGCGGAGCCAACGCGUUAAAUGCGCCGCCUGGGAAGUACGGUCGCAAGAUUAAAACUCAAAGAAAUUGACGGGAGCCUGCACAAGCGGUGGAGUAUGUGGCUCAAUUCGAUCAACGCGAAGAACCUUACCUGGCCUUGACAUGCACGUAGUAGAAGGGUGAAAGCCUAACGAGGUAGCAAUACCAGCGUGCACAGGUGCUGCAUGGCUGUCGUCAGCUCGUGUCGUGAGAUGUUGGGUUAAGUCCCGCAACGAGCGCAACCCUUGUGUCCUGUUGCCACUCGAACGAGAGUUCGAAGCACUCUGGACAGACUGCCUCGCUUAAACGAGGAGGAAGGUGGGGAUGACGUCAAGUCAGUAUGGCCCUUACGGCCAGGGCUGCACACGUACUACAAUGCCCGGCACAGAGGGAAGCGAGACUGUAAAGUGGAGCAAAUCCCCUAAAACCGGGCCCAGUUCAGAUUGUCGUCUGCAACUCGACGGCAUGAAGCUGGAAUCGCUAGUAAUGGCGCAUCAGCUACGGCGCCGUGAAUACGUUCCCAGGCCUUGUACACACCGCCCGUCACAUCAUGAAAGCCGUUUGUACCCGAAGUCACCGUGCUAACCGCAAGGAUGCAGGUGCCGAAGGUAUGGAUGGUGAUUGGGAUGAAGUCGAAACAAGGUA
rnacentral:rRNA from 1 species